rnacentral:rRNA from 1 species
CGACUUUUAGUUUGCCUUCCCGAAACUAAGUGAGCUACUUUAAAGCAGCUAUUAGAGCUAACCCGUCUCUGUCGCAAAAGAGUGGGGUGACUUUAAAGUAGAGGUGAUAGACCUACCGAACUUAGAGAUAGCUGGUUUUUUAAGAAAAGAAUUUUAGUUCAGCCCCAAGCCUUUCGUUAAGCAAAAAACCUUCUUAGGCCUGGGAGUCAUUCAUAUAGGGCACAGCCUAUUUGAAACAGGAUACAACCUAGAAUAUAGGGUAAAACAAUGUGAUUUUUCUAUAAGUGGGCUUGAAAGCAGCCACCUUUCAAAAAGCGUUGUAGCUUAUUGAUACUGAUUAUUUAAUAACCUCAAAAAUGUUUAACCCACACACACUAUUAAACUAUCCCAUAAAUUUAUGGGAGCUAUCAUGCUAGAACAAGUAACAAGAAAAAGAUUUUUCUCCAAAAUACAAGCUUUAGCCGCUACAGACAAACUACCGGCAAUUA